rnacentral:rRNA from 1 species
AGAAUCUUUCGCAAUGCCCGAAAGGGUGACGAAGCGACGCCGCGUGUGGGAAGAAGGCCUUCGGGUUGUAAACCACUGUCGGGAGUUAGGAAAUGUAAGGGUGUUAAUAGUAUCCUUACUUGACUAAGGCUCCGGAGGAAGCCACGGCUAACUCUGUGCCAGCAGCCGCGGUAAUACAGAGGCGGCAAGCGUUGUUCGGAAUUAUUGGGCGUAAAGAGCACGUAGGCGGCCUUGUAAGUCAGUUGUGAAAGCCUUCUGCUUAACGGAAGAACAGCAGCUGAUACUGCAAGGCUAGAGUGCGGAAGGGGAGAGUGGAACUUCUGGUGGAGCGGUGAAAUGCGUAGAUAUCAGAAGGAACACCGGCGGCGAAGGCGACUCUCUGGUCCGUAACUGACGCUGAGUGUGCGAAAGCUAGGGGAGCAAACGGGAUUAGAUACCCCGGUAGUCCUAGCCGUAAACGAUGGGCACUAAGUAGAGGGGUUUUGAUUAUCUCUCUGCCGGAGCUAACGCAUUAAGUGCCCCGCCUGGGGAGUACGGCCGCGAGGCUAAAACUCAAAAGAAUUGACGGGGGCUCGCACAAGCGGUGGAGCAUGUGGCUUAAUUCGAUGCAACGCGAAGAACCUUACCGGGGUUUGACAUGGUAGAAGUAGGAGCCUGAAAGGGUGGCGAACGGUAUCCAGUCCGUGACUAUCACAGGUGUUGCAUGGCUG